AAUAAUCUGUGAAAGAAAACUGAGCUCCUCUAGCUCGGUCAGAAACAACCAAUCAGACAGGAGGAGAGUCUUAGUGCUGUCAAUCGUCCUCAUGUACAGGCUGCUCACACUCCCUCUUUCUCUGUGUUACGCUACAGCUAGUUCCCAAACGGAGCCUGUCGUGAAUUCUAAGGCCAUUCAGCAUGGCCGCUGAGGAUGAUGAAUAAAUGGUUUCCUGUAACAUUCAGUUGUUUGUUUUCCAUUAGCAUAUUUAGCAGUAGGUACGUGAAUGAGAAAUGCAUUUCAUUUAAUCAAAAACAACCAAUCAGAGCAAAGAGGAGGGUCUUAGCGCUGUCAAUCACUGCUAUGCUCAUCCCAUCUGGCUUGGUCUGUGCUAAGCUACAACUGGUACAACACAACAUAGUGCUAAGGCUAGUUAGCAUGACCAGUGAUGACAGUGUAUAACUGUUUUCCAUUAACAGUAAGUUGUAACAUUAGGACAUUUAGCAGCAGGUGCUCUAGGUUGAUUGAUUGAUUGAUUGAUUAGCUCUGAUCGGUGCAUUUCUUCAGACGAUAACAGUAGCAUUAGGAGGAGGAGGAGCUCGAUUUUGUCUCAGAUUAUCUUGAACUGCUGUGCUGUCAUGAUAUAACAGUUUAUACGUUAAAAAAACGACUUUUUUUUAUUUUUAUUAUAAACACUACGUAGUCUACACUACUUAGUCUACCUGCAAGUGGAUGUUGCAAAAUGUCAAAGUAUUCACUGAAUAGUUCCUGCAACGCUGAAUGAAAUCAUCAGGAAAUCCUGUGUCAGGUUUGCAACAGUCCCUCCCAAAGGUCUGAACUUGACCUCUCAGAUCCGCAUGAAGGGACGUUAUGUAGCAUGAUUGUACAAAUAUGCUCAGACAUACACACACACACAGGUUUUCAUUUCUAACUGUAUAAGGAAAUGGUAUGGACUUCCAUUCAUUUGUGCAACACCUAGACUUGCCACAUACCCUAAACUCAACCUGUCAUCCCAAAAACAAUAUUCCACUGUAUCAACAGAAGGACUGGAUGAAAGCAUCCUUUGAACCUGUGUAUGUAAGUGAUUGCUAAGAGGUCCUAAAGAGGCAACAUAAACAAGUGUCAGUAAGUACACACACACCACUCUAAGCUCAUACAUACAGGUAGGUAGAGCUACUUUUGCAGAAACUGCGCUCUUGCAUCAGUUUCCUGCUGAUAGCCUGCAUUGGUGAACUUCUAAGUCAACAAAUCAGACACCCGUCACAGUCUGAUGAAAACAAGUUGACUGUCAUGAGCAUUUAAGAAUCGUAUUCCUCAAUAAAGUGAAAGAGUUAAGACCACGACACGGUUGGCAGUGGAAGUUACUGGAAGUUAGACAAAGUGAACAGGAAUGAGAGCAGCUACUUCCUUCCACUGUGCCAAACAUCCAGUUGGGGCUGAUUGUAAAACCCGAUUAGCGAGAAGGCAGAAACGCCUCCGCUUCAGGACCUCCGCUUGUGUGGAUGCUGCAACCGCCGUGUCGUGAGAGGAACUAAGGCAAGCUACCUCACUGAGUUCUCCCUGUGCAAACACAGCUCAGUGUGGUAUCAGUGUCUCUGAAAUAUUCGCGCACACAGUUCUGCAAAAACACACAAACGUGGAAAUGGUGAACCGCUUGCAAAAGCACUUUUAAUAGUCCCACACGUCCAAAACAGAGAACGGUAGAAAAUGGAUAACAGUGAUUUGCGUUGCAGGUAAGGCUCCAAAAGCAAAUCUGGUUAUCAUCGGCGUACACAGCUCAACCACGGAAACAAACCCACAUUGAGAACACUGGAGGCACACUCCGGCUGUCGUUUUUUUUUUAUCUCUACCUCUCUCACACGCACAAGUCAUAUUUGUGUGACAAAUCCCAAAAGCUUAAAGACAACAGAGAAGCAAGUAAAGAAUAACCUUUCUUUGUUUUGUUUUUUUCGUGGCUAGAUGACAGCAUCUGCUCAACGUGCCCAUAGUGUGUGUGAAACAUGCAGAGGAAGCUUCGCAUCCCGUCUGAUAGAAGGCGACGCCGGCCAGCCUUACCUAUCCGAGCCGUCUCGGUCUUGAAGGUGCUGAAGUCCCAGUUCCGAGGUAGUUUCAGAGACAUUCUCCAACGGCACAGGUAGAAGUUUGUAACUCAUCCCUUCAUGUCGCCUCCGUAUCCAUGUUAGUGCCUGUCUUCAUGAAGCUGACCAAGUGGUGGAGAGAGAGGGGGGGGAAGUGGAUUUGCAGUGCAGAGUCUUCAAGUGACUAAUGUUCACCGGUGUCAAAAGAAGAAGAAGAAACCACCACCACCAGCAGCGUCUUCUUAAAGGAAAUGGUUUUAUGCCUCUUGUUAUGACUGGUUCAGAGAGCAUGUUGCCUCACCGCUCGGGCUGCAGGGGCACAAAUCCAUCCAGCUGCUGUCUCUACAUACCCAUUUCUCUAAAAGGUGAAAGUCUAGUCCGCCGCCGACAGAAAGGUCUCCAUCGUCAAACAAAAUGAGAACAUUUUACAGAGGCUGGUGAGAGGAAAUUGACCGAAUAAGUUUCAAAAUGGGGAAGAUGACCACACAAAAAAAAGAGAAGGAAGAAGUCACAAGAGUACACCUCCUGUUGUCUUUAAAUACAUUUAUUUUUUUUUCUCUGAACAUAGCCAAAAACACAGUUCAGCGUUAAAGAAUACCUCUAGAUAUUGUACAAUUUACCAAACCAUUGCACAGAUAAAGAAUAGAUAUACAGAUUUCUUUAUUUUUUUUGUUUUACAGAUUCAUAAGGUAAUCUAUGCACAUAAUAAAGUAAAAUGUUUCACACAGGAGAGCCUGCACAGCACAAUGGACAGACAUGACUCCCUUACAUUCCUCUGAUAGACUCCUGGCAAAACACACUUGCACAACAGGUCAGUGGAGCCCUAAAGACCAACAAAAAGAAGACGUUUAUCUAGUACACUAACUUUUUCAUAAAAGGGCAGCGGAUUGUUCUAAGCAGAAGUAACAAAUGGCCAAAUAUCUCCAUUUAUGUACAGCCUUAAGGUCACAGUCAACAGGCUGAGCACAGGAGCUCUGGCUCCCUCUGGUGGCAGGUAAGUGGAAGGGCAGUGCUGAGCUGCUGAACCGAAAAAUUGAGCUGUGUGAAAAUGUAACUACUGCGGCGGCUUCGGCUGCGAUACCAAGAGGAAGAAACUACGUAAAUCAUAAGCAACGAGCACCCGAGCUGAGGCACGACACCGAACAGGAGCCUAGCAACAGCAACCACGGCAACAGCGGAGAAACUCUUCAGCUACUUUUACACUUGUUCUCUUUUUUUUUUUUCGCACGUGGCGAUAAUGAUUUUUUUUUUUUUUCUUGCCUGACUACAAAAACUACAAACAAAAAAACCACCAACAUAUAUUUUAGAAUUACAGCAGAGAUAGAGAGUUAAUAAAUAAAUAUCUUGAGAAAGAUGACGUCUCGAAUGACGUCAAUAAAUAAUCAUCGGAAUCAAUUCAAACACCGGAUAAAAGUGAUGUCUGGGUUAUAUACCCGAAAAAACUAGAAGAUGGUAUAUAAAAUAAACAUAAAUACCAGGAACACAUUUAAAAGAAGCCACUAUGUACCAUCAUUUUCCUUUCCUGCUACACCAAAUGUAGUUUAUUAUGUCUUGUUACAAAUAUUGGUUUUAUUCCAUCAUACUAACAGAAGUCUUCUGGUUUUAGUUAGAAAGACUAAAGGGUCCUCUGAACCAAAUCGUUAAAACACCAUCAGUA